AUCUGUUUGUUUAUAGUUUACUUAAGCAAAGGGACCUUUAAAAAACGGACUUUGAUAAGAGGGGACAAAGUUUCUUCAGAAAUGAACCGGAGUUCCUUAGUAAGAACUUCAGUUUCUUUUAUACACAGGUGCCCGGAGAACUGGGGAGUCCUUGCCAUUCCAAGCCGCCCUGUGCCGGUAAUUCCUCUCAGAAACUUGUACGAACUUGUUUUUGACUGACAGUGAACAGUAAGACUGGUUCUUCACUUUGAAGAACCCUCAGCACCUACCUUUGCAAGGCACCCUGGAUCACUUCCUUGCCUGGUCUUAAUUUCCCACCCACCCAGGAGCCUGCACUGGGCACUCGGCAGGUAAGAAGCUGAAGUGUCUGUCACUGUGGGGGCACGCAGCAUGCUGGAGAUGCUUCUGAGAAACUUGACUUCCAAAGAAAGAAAGAGCACAGUGGGUUUCUGAAGUAGUCAGAGAGUGGAAGCAGUCUGACUGGAGAAACGGCUUUGUUCACGGCCCAUGGAGAACACUGCUUUCCCCAGUAAUAAGGAGGAACUGAGGAGCAUCCCAGGGGCAAGACCUCUUCGUGAGUUCAGUGCCUCUGCUUAGGCAUGGUGAGCCUUUGCCACACACAGGUCAUGGCUUGGAAAAGUCACAUGACCUCCCUACACAGGAAGCAGAAACACAUCCCGCUCAAAGGGGCCAGCCUAGGCCAUAGCAGAGCCCCAUGGUAGCCAGGUGGGAGAAGGGGAGCGAGGACGCGCCACUUACCCUGCAGAAGAUUCCUGACCUACAGAGUGGUCCAAAGAUGGAUGCCAUUCACCUUGGCAUGUCCAGUGCCCCACUGGUGAAGCAUACCAACGGGGUUGGACUCAAGGCCCACAGACCCCGAGUCAUGUCAAAGAGUGGGCACAGUAAUGUGAGAAUCGAUAAGGUAGACGGAAUCUAUUUACUCUACCUCCAGGACUUGUGGACAACCGUCAUCGACAUGAAGUGGCGAUACAAGCUCACCCUAUUUGCUGCCACCUUUGUGAUGACCUGGUUUCUGUUUGGAGUGGUCUACUAUGCCAUAGCCUUUAUUCAUGGUGACUUACAACUUGGGGAAUCUAAUUCCAACCACACACCCUGCAUUAUGAAAGUGGACUCUCUCACAGGAGCAUUCCUCUUUUCCUUGGAAUCUCAGACAACCAUUGGCUACGGGGUCCGUUCCAUCACAGAGGAGUGUCCCCAUGCUAUCUUCCUCUUAGUCGCCCAACUGGUCAUCACCACAUUGAUUGAGAUCUUCAUUACGGGGACCUUUCUGGCUAAAAUUGCAAGACCCAAAAAGCGAGCCGAGACCAUUAAGUUCAGCCACUGUGCUGUCAUCAGCAAGCAGAAUGGAAAGCUAUGCCUGGUCAUCCAGGUGGCCAACAUGAGGAAGAGUCUCCUGAUUCAGUGCCAGCUCUCUGGAAAACUCCUGCAGACACACGUCACCAAAGAGGGAGAACGCAUUCUCCUCAACCAGGCCACUGUCAAAUUCCACGUGGACUCCUCUUCCGAGAGUCCCUUCCUCAUCCUGCCCAUGACCUUCUACCACGUGUUGGAUGAGACAAGCCCCCUGCGGGACCUCACACCCCAAAACCUAAAGGAGAAGGAGUUUGAGCUGGUGGUACUUCUCAACGCCACGGUGGAGUCUACCAGCGCCGUCUGCCAGAGCCGAACGUCUUACAUCCCGGAGGAGAUCUACUGGGGCUUUGAGUUUGUGCCUGUGGUUUCUCUCUCCAAAAAUGGAAAGUAUGUGGCUGAUUUCAGUCAAUUUGAGCAGAUCAGGAAGAGCCCGGAUUGUACCUUCUACUGUGCCGAUUCUGAGAAGCAGAAGCUUGAAGAACAGUACAGGCAAGAGGACCAGAGGGAGCGGGAGCUGAGGAGCCUCCUGCUACAGCAGAGCAAUGUCUGACUCCACCGGCCUCUGGGCGUCUCCUAACCAGGGCUCCUUUCAAAAGCAAUGGCUGCCAUGAACGUGGGAUGGGUGGCCCCACUACCAAAUCACACAGACGUUCGUGGCCAUCUUCCCCUUUGUUCUGAUGGCUGAACAAGCAUUUCUGAAUAUAAAAAGAUGUCUUCAGAGUGCCUGGUCAGAGGUGAGCACUCAAAUUCAGAUUUCCCCCCACCCCUAAAAUGGAGCUAUACAUUGAAGAACUGAGUGUAGGAAGAUGGAGAGAAUUCCCGCUGGAGGGCAGACCCAGCAGUGCUGACAGUGGAUGGCAUGUAUGCCUACUCAAGAACAUCUGCUCAUAAUGCAAAAUAUUUAUUUACCCACCUAACAAGGGCAUUGGUGGCUGAGGUCUGAGGCGUAAUUUGCUAUUUGCUCAUAGCACUGCUUAAGAACUCACUCCUUCUCAUGUUCAAGUGCAUACGUUUUUAUUUGCAAUGACGGUUAUCUGGAGAUGACAAAAAAAAAAAAAGUUGGGAAAGCAGGGUCUUAAAGCUUGCAGAAUAAUACAGCCGUUUUAUUUUUACAUUCUUCCAUAGACUUUAAUUGUGUGGAGCGAACAUCAUCAAAUCAGGAAUCAAGAGUUCAGAAAAUAUGUCCAUCUCUUGAUUCUGUGGUCCCCAUCACUUCUGGAGGAAGCGUGUACUAGCCUCUUUUUCCUUUAAAAUGUCCUUCACAGACAAACCAAAUAGCACCAUUUAGGGACAUAUUGGCAACACGCACAGCCGGGUUUCAGCCAGGCUUCCAGAAACCUCAAUGUUGCAGGCUCUGAGUAAUGUUUGCAAUGUCAUCUGUCUAGAUCCACGUUGGAAAAAAGAGCGUGUGCGUUCCGAGUCCAUGUGCCCUCCAGGUCUGCCCUCUGUCAGCGUUAUCAGUCGACACAUCCAUCUCUCAGCUAUCUCAGCUUUUCCCUGGGAACAUACCUUAGCCACAAAGAAAUUGUACAGAGUUACUAGUGUCUUAAGAAUUAGACAGUUCCCUGAGAGCUGUGACUGUCACCAUUGUGUUAAUUCAUGGACUGAAGACGGCAGUCACCACAAAAGAAAACUGAAACUGUGUCACAAAUAGGAAGUCUGCAUUAGAUGCUGCAGUUUGCAGCUCAUGACACAGAGAAGAGGAGCCAAGGGGGAAAGGUGUCUGUGAGCAAGAAGAGCCCUUGUGCAAGAGCCUAGACAAAUACGUAGUACAACUCAGUGUUACAGGGGUAACAUUUUACCUCUGAGAAAUAUAGGAGUAUAACGCCUGCAUUUCCUUGGGAAAGAGAAUUAAGCAGGCUAGGAUUGACUGAAUAGAUAAGCGCUGUGUGCUCAUUUUAUCUGGACAAACUAGAAAUUUACUCAAGUGCCAUGUAACCAUGAAUGUACAGGCAAUACUCUCUCUCUCUCUCUCUCUCUCUCUCUCUCACACACACACACACACACACACACACACACACACACACACACACACACACACAUGUUCCUCAUACAAUAUGCCAGGGUGUGCUCUGGCUCUGCAAACACAAUACCAGGCAUGUGGGAUCAGAGGUCACACUAAGAAAGUCUACCAAGUUAUCCUCAUGCUUAUCUGAUUCUUUAAGAAAAAUGAACAUUUGGACCCAGAGAAACUGGGGAGACUUUAGCUGGAUCUAGCUGUUAGUGUGAACAACUGCACCCCCAGUCAUAACCUUGAGAGACCACUUUCACACUGUCUUUCCUUCAAACAACAACAAAAUGUGGAAAUAAAAUCUUUGGGUUGGAACCAAGCUAAUGCAGUGAGAGUCUGAGACCCAUGGAGGAAAAGUUUGCAGAACGAUUUCUAUUAAGGAGGAUUUAGGGCUGGAGAAAUGGCUCGGUAGGUAAGGGCUACAGCUCAAAUGCUCAACACCCUUGUAAAAUGCCAGGGAGGGGUUCACAAGCCUAGAACUGCAAGAUCAUGGGGAGCUGAGACAGGGGGAUCACUGGGACUUACUGGGCACCAGAGAGCUCCAGGCUCAGUAAGACACCCUGUCUCAGAAGAAUAAGGCAGAUAAAGGAAAGUGACCUACUCCUCUGGCCUCUAGGCACAUGCAUGCUCUCCCCACUCCACAUACCAAUCUGUCUGUCUGUCUCUGUCUCUCUCCCUGUCUCUUUCUGUCUCUGUCUCUCUCCCUGUCAAUCUCUCUCCCUCUCUCCCUUUGUCUCUCCCUCCCUGUCUCUGUCUCUCCCUGCCUCUCCCUGUUUCUCUCUCUCUCUCUCUCUCUCUCUCUCUCACACACACACACACACACACACAGAGAGAGGUUAAAUCAUUCAAGAAAAUGUUUUCCACUCCUUCCUGACUUCAUGGCAGCCUGUGUUAGUUUCCCCCUUUUUCAAACUGUUAGAUGUUUGCCCGCUCAGACAUUAGUCCCUUUCACUAUUAAUCUUGUGUAUUUGUGUCACAUAUUACAGUAGAAUCAAUAGGAAAAAUCGUGCCACGAGGGCGUUUGUGGUGGCUUUUCUAUUGUUUUAUGAAAUUCCUCACCCAAAAUCCACUUUGGUGGCCAUCUGAAUCUGAUUAAUCCCAGUAACUCAGCUUGCUUCUGUUGUAUACGGUACAAAUGGUAACACGCCAGUCUCAAAAUCGUCUUUGUAUAAUCACUGAGCAUAUUAUAUUCAUCCAGAUUUGGAAUAUCUGAUCAUUUGAAAGUUUUUUGUAAUACACACCAAUAUAUUCGGUGCCUUCAAAACCACUGUAUGGGCCAGGUGUGCUGGUACAUGCCUGUGAUCCUAGCACAUGGGAGGUGGAGGUACCAGGAUUAGGAAUUCAAGGCCAGCCUCGAUGACAUAAUGCCUCCACGACAUGAGCCCCUCUAACAAAAUAUGUAAUGUUUAGGUCAAUAAAUCAUAUUGUAACAUAAUAUCUAGUAAUUCAUUCUAUAGUUGACUGGUUUGAAACUUAACAUUUUUCAGAAUCCCUUAGAUAUUAUUUUGAACCACAUAUUCUCAUGUUAAUGUACUAGUAGAAGAAUUAAAUGAUAAGCUUACUGGAUGUCAUCUAGACAGCUUUCUGAUGGCAACAGAUUCAGAAGAGUCAUCAAAACAAUAGAGUGUUUAACCUGAAGAAAGCUUUGUGUUUCUUCAGAAACUCAAUGCAUUCACUUUCUCUAUGAUUCUGAAAUUGUUCUUCAUUUGGGAGACCACAGGGCAGCAGAUCAAUGUAUACCACAAGCCAUGUCUUCUGCCUUGCUGCCUGUGACCGCAGACAAAGGAGAGACGCACCUCUGACCCAUACAGUGAGCCACUUUGGGUCGAGGGUGGGAGUUAAACCUUGGUUCUCUGUUUUCUUUUUCAUGGGGAAAUUAACAGUGACGUUUUUUAAUAUCUAAAAACAAAUGCAUAGUGGGAAGAAAAAAUAAUAUUCAUUAGAGUGGAUCAAAUAUUUAGAUAAAUGUAAACACCCAUUUUGUUUGAUCUUUAAUUGAAUUAAAUUUCUACUUUGAACUGGCUGUGGUUUUGAUAUCAAUGAAGUGUAAAAUUAUAUACAUAUUUAAAA